GAUUGACCUCGGAUCAGGUAGGGAUAC
rnacentral:rRNA from 1 species